UACGUAGGGGCCUAGCGUUGUCCGGAAUUAUUGGGCGUAAAGAGCGUGUAGGCGGCCAUACAGGUCAGCUGUGAAAACUCGAGGCUCAACCUCGAGACGUCGGUUGAAACCGUAUGGCUAGAGUCCGGAAGAGGAGAGUGGAAUUCCCGGUGUAGCGGUGAAAUGCGCAGAUAUCGGGAAGAACACCUAUGGCGAAGGCAGCUCUCUGGGACGGUACUGACGCUGAGACGCGAAAGCGUGGGGAGCGAACAGG
rnacentral:rRNA from 1 species